AUGCGCGCCGUCCAGUACACCGGCUACGGUGGCGGCGCCGCGGCACUCAAGUACGUGGAUAUCCCUGUCCCUUCACCGAAGAAAGAUGAGGUUCUUAUAAAGAUUGAAGCAGCAAGCAUAAAUCCAGCGGACUGGAAUAUCCAGAAAGGCUUGAUACGUCCUUUCGUUCCUAAGUUCCCGUUUAUUCCAGUAACCGAUGUUGCUGGAGAGGUUGUUGAGGUAGGCCCUGCAGUUCAAGAGUUGAAAGUCGGUGACAAAGUUGUGUCCAAAUUAGUUUUCUGGAAAUCCGGCGGCCUCGCUGAGUACGUUGCAGCAUCGGAGAGCAUCACCGUCGCUUGCCCUGCCGGAAUAUCCGCUGCUGAUGCCGCAGGGCUGCCCCUCGCCGGCUUCACUGCUCUGCAGGCCCUGAGGGCCAUUGGCACAAAGUUCGACGGAACGGGCAGCAGCAGCAACAUCUUGAUCACCGCGGGAUCAGGCGGCAUCGGCACAUACGCAGUUCAGCUCGCCAAGCUCGGAAACCACAAUGUCACCGCAACCUGCGGUGCGCGCAACCUGGAGGUCGUCGCGAACAUCGGCGCCGAUGAGGUGCUUGACUACAAGACUCUGGAAGGUGCAGCACUGAAAAUUCUUCGGGCAAGAAGUACGACUACAUCGUGA
rnacentral:rRNA from 1 species